GUUGUACAGCUGCUGGUAGGCAGGCGGUUCGUCGAUGAACAUCACUGGUACAGACAUCUGGUAGAUCAUCAGCGAAGACAGCACCAAGCCCAGCAGCUACAGGGGAACACACACCAGAAAACCAGUGGUGGGAGAAGCAGUGGACCUUUUACCUAAGGAAAGGUAGCACAGCAGGAAAAAGAGAUGAGGUUGAUGGUGGAGCACAGCGGAGCAGGCUCUGGGAGGCGGAGGAGAAACUGCAGGAGGAGCAGAGCCUGAGACCGAAGCAUGAACAGGAGGUGCAGAAGCUCAAAAAAGACAUAAAAAAACGAGUCUGUCCUCCAGAGCGCCUCCAGCUGAGACCUUGGAUGAGUCAAAUACUGAGAUAAGGGACUUGAAAGAGCUCCAGAGUCUUGCUGCAGCUAAAGGCUUCAGCUCAUGGACAGAGUCUCCAAGGACUUGAAGCUGGUCGAAAGGCUGAAGGCUGAAAAAGAAGCCCUUGAGCAGGAGCUGGAGAGGAUGAAGCUCCUGCAGAGAAGAGGUGACUGCCGAGCAGCUGCAGGACUUGAAGAGGCAGCUGGAGGAAAAGGAGCUCCGGCCUCGAGCUGGCCUCCAAACAGAAAGCUCAGGAGGAGACCAAUCAGGGCGCUGGAGAAACAGGUGGAGGUGUUCAGGAAGCAGAUGGAGGUCGAAAUGUCCAACCGAAAGGAGACUGCUGAGGUCAUCGAGGAGGUCGACGCUCCGGAGAAGGUUCAGGAAACGACAAAGAAGCCUUCUGUGUGGAGGAAGAAGUCUGUCACCCCAGAACACGGCCGCAAAUACAAGCAGCAGCAGGAGUGAGAGUCGUCCAGCGAUGGAGACAGCAGAGCCAGGGAGAUGAUGACGAUGAGCACACCCAUGAUCUGAAACAUGAGAGGACAGCAGGAAAACUACCGCAAACUACAUCAAAGAGGAAAACAAUUACAUGAUGAAAUAACCGGCCACCGAUGUGAAACUAUCUCCUCUACUAUUGGUGUGAAUUCUGGGGAUGAUGUACCACAUUUUUUGGACAAAUAUUUUGGGAAGGAAUCUGGAGAAUCACACCAACAGAUCCCGUUGACAUUCGUGGGCGAAAAGGAACAACAACUUAUUACAGAAACCUCCUCAAAAAAUAUUUACUGCAGCAGCAAAAACAGCUUGUAGCUGGUUACAGGCCGAUCCACCUACAGAAGAUAACUGGCUUGAAAUCAUCAAAGAGAUUCGUGAGAUGGAAAGACUUUCCAUCUAAGACGGACAAAACGGAUAGUAUAUUUCUUGGAAUCAGGAACUUGGCUGGUGGUUUGCUGUUUUCUUUGCCAGUCAUGGAUAAUUAUUAGCAAAUUAAGUAGUCCUGCUGUCCAUAAUCCAUAAUAUAUGAUGUUUGUUUGUGUACACCGUCCUGCUGCCCCAAACACUCACUACAGCACCACAUGUGGAUUCAUCCGCCGCUGAAAAUAGUCCCCAACAGAUGCACCGUUUCCUCCUGUUAGUCUGAUAAAAAC